CCAGACAGCCAGGAUGUUGGCUUAGAAGCAGCCAUCAUUUAAAGAAAGCGUAAUAGCUCACUGGUCGAGUCGGCCUGCGCGGAAGAUGUAACGGGGCUAAACCAUGCACCGAAGCUGCGGCAGCGACGCUAUGCGUUGUUGGGUAGGGGAGCGUUCUGUAAGCCUGUGAAGGUGUGCUGUGAGGCAUGCUGGAGGUAUCAGAAGUGCGAAUGCUGACAUAAGUAACGAUAAAGCGGGUGAAAAGCCCGCUCGCCGGAAGACCAAGGGUUCCUGUCCAACGUUAAUCGGGGCAGGGUGAGUCGACCCCUAAGGCGAGGCCGAAAGGCGUAGUCGAUGGGAAACAGGUUAAUAUUCCUGUACUUGGUGUUACUGCGAAGGGGGGACGGAGAAGGCUAUGUUGGCCGGGCGACGGUUGUCCCGGUUUAAGCGUGUAGGCUGGUUUUCCAGGCAAAUCCGGAAAAUCAAGGCUGAGGCGUGAUGACGAGGCACUACGGUGCUGAAGCAACAAAUGCCCUGCUUCCAGGAAAAGCCUCUAAGCAUCAGGUAACAUCAAAUCGUACCCCAAACCGACACAGGUGGUCAGGUAGAGAAUACCAAGGCGCUUGAGAGAACUCGGGUGAAGGAACUAGGCAAAAUGGUGCCGUAACUUCGGGAGAAGGCACGCUGAUAUGUAGGUGAAGUCCCUCGCGGAUGGAGCUGAAAUCAGUCGAAGAUACCAGCUGGCUGCAACUGUUUAUUAAAAACACAGCACUGUGCAAACACGAAAGUGGACGUAUACGGUGUGACGCCUGCCCGGUGCCGGAAGGUUAAUUGAUGGGGUUAGCCGCAAGGCGAAGCUCUUGAUCGAAGCCCCGGUAAACGGCGGCCGUAACUAUAACGGUCCUAAGGUAGCGAAAUUCCUUGUCGGGUAAGUUCCGACCUGCACGAAUGGCGUAAUGAUGGCCAGGCUGUCUCCACCCGAGACUCAGUGAAAUUGAACUCGCUGUGAAGAUGCAGUGUACCCGCGGCAAGACGGAAAGACCCCGUGAACCUUUACUAUAGCUUGACACUGAACAUUGAGCCUUGAUGUGUAGGAUAGGUGGGAGGCUU
rnacentral:rRNA from 1 species